rnacentral:tRNA from 1 species
UGCCGGAUCGUCUAACGGUAGGACAACGGGUUCUGGACCCGUUUAUCUAGGUUCGAAUCCUAGUCCGGCAGCCA